AUAAUACUGGAGAGAACGCUGGCAGCGUCGCCGAAGGAGCAAGCCGUUAAACGGUGAAUCUCUCAGGCAAAAGGACAGUAUU
rnacentral:ncRNA from 1 species